ACAAUGAGGGCACUAGAGUGUUAGGAAACCGAUAUUCUAACACUAUAGAAUCCCUUUAAACUAAAAGUUUUGAUCUAUCUGUGGGAGCAGGUCAAAGACACUUAUUAUUAUUGCCAUUUAUAUAGCGCCAACAGAUUCCGUAGAGCUUUACAAUAUUAUGAGAUGGGUGAUUUAACUAUAAAUAUGACAAUUACAAGAAAAC